UUUUCCCUCAACAGGACCACCAGAAAGAUGGACGAACUCGAUCAAGCGAAUGGUGGGGACGAACUGGCAGCAAAUGGCAAUGGAUCGUUCAGAAAUGGAAGACAAAAGGGGAGGCCUACAUCCAUCAGUGGAUAUCAACAGGCCUGAUUAAGAAG